rnacentral:rRNA from 1 species
AUUGAACGCUGGCGGCAGGCCUAACACAUGCAAGUCGAGCGGAUGAAGGGAGCUUGCUCCUGGAUUCAGCGGCGGACGGGUGAGUAAUGCCUAGGAAUCUGCCUGGUAGUGGGGGAUAACGUCCGGAAACGGGCGCUAAUACCGCAUACGUCCUGAGGGAGAAAGUGGGGGAUCUUCGGACCUCACGCCAUCAGAUGAGCCUAGGUCGGAUUAGCUAGUUGGUGGGGUAAAGGCCUACCAAGGCGACGAUCCGUAACUGGUCUGAGAGGAUGAUCAGUCACACUGGAACUGAGACACGGCCCAGACUCCUACGGGAGGCAGCAGUGGGGAAUAUUGGACAAUGGGCGAAAGCCUGAUCCAGCCAUGCCGCGUGUGUGAAGAAGGUCUUCGGAUUGUAAAGCACUUUAAGUUGGGAGGAAGGGCAGUAAGUUAAUACCUUGCUGUUUUGACGUUACCAACAGAAUAAGCACCGGCUAACUUCGUG